rnacentral:rRNA from 1 species
CCGAUUAGCUAGUUGGUGGGGUAAUAGCCUACCAAGGCGACGAUCGGUAGCUGGUCUGAGAGGAUGAUCAGCCACACUGGGACUGAGACACGGCCCAGACUCCUACGGGAGGCAGCAGUGGGGAAUUUUCGGCAAUGGGCGAAAGCCUGACCGAGCAACGCCGCGUGGGUGAUGAAGGACUGUGGUCUGUAAAACCCUUUUGUGAGGGACGAAUUUUGACGGUACCUCACGAAUAAGGAUCGGCUAAUUCCGUGCCAGCAGCCGCGGUAAUACGGGGGAUCCGAGCGUUAUUCGGAAUUAUUGGGCGUAAAGCGUACGUAGGCGGCUUGCCAAGUCUGGGGUCAAAGCCCGCAGCUUAACUGCGGAAAGGCCUUGGAAACUGGUAGGCUCGAGUGCGGAAGGGGUAAGGGGAAUUCCACAUGUA